AUUGAACGCUGGCGGAAUGCUUUACACAUGCAAGUCGAGCGGCAGCGCGGCCUUCGGGCUGGCGGCGAGCGGCGAACGGGUGAGUAAUGCAUCGGAACAUGCCCAGUCGUGGGGGAUAACACUUCGAAAGAAGUGCUAAUACCGCAUACGUCCUGAGGGGGAAAGCGGGGAUCGCAAGACCUCGCGCGAUUGGAGUGGCCGAUGUCAGAUUAGCUAGUUGGUGGGGUAAAGGCCUACCAAGGCGACGAUCUGUAGCUGGUCUGAGAGGAUGAUCAGCCACACUGGGACUGAGACACGGCCCAGACUCCUACGGGAGGCAGCAGUGGGGAAUUUUGGACAAUGGGGGCAACCCUGAUCCAGCCAUGCCGCGUGAGUGAAGAAGGCCUUCGGGUUGUAAAGCUCUUUCGGCAGGAACGAAACGGUGGGCUCUAACAUAGUCCGCUAAUGACGGUACCUGAAGAAGAAGCACCGGCUAACUACGUG
rnacentral:rRNA from 1 species